AUUGAACGCUGGCGGCAGGCCUAACACAUGCAAGUCGAGCGGAUGAAGGGAGCUUGCUCCUGGAUUCAGCGGCGGACGGGUGAGUAAUGCCUAGGAAUCUGCCUGGUAGUGGGGGAUAACGUCCGGAAACGGGCGCUAAUACCGCAUACGUCCUGCGGCAGAAAGAGGGGGAUCUUCGGACCUCACGCUCUCAGAUGAGCCUAGGUCGGAUUAGCUAGUUGGUGGGGUAAGGGCCUACCUAGCCGACGAUCCGUAACUGGUCUGAGAGGAUGAUCAGUCACACGAGAAGUGAGACAGGGUCAAGACGACUACGGGAGGCAGCAGUCGGGAAUAUGGGACAGUGGGCGAAAGCCUGAUCCAGCCAGGCGGCGUGUGUGAAGAAGGCCUUCGGAGUGUAAAGCACGUUAAGUUGGGAGGAAGCGCAGUAAGUUAAUACCUUGCUGUUUUGACGGUACCAACAGAAUAAGCACCGGCUAACUUCGUG
rnacentral:rRNA from 1 species